rnacentral:rRNA from 1 species
UACGUAGGUGGCAAGCGUUGUCCGGAUUUACUGGGCGUAAAGCGUAUGCAGGCGGACCGUUAAGUAGGAAGUGAAAGGUUGGAGCUCAACUCUAACACUGCUCCCUAUACUGGCGGUCUUGAGUGGCGGAGAGGAAGACGGAACGACACGUGUAGCGGUGAAAUGCGUUGAUAUGUGUCGGAACACCAAUGGCGAAAGCAGUCUUCUGGACGCAAACUGACGCUGAGAUGACGAAAGCCAAGGUAGCAAACAGG